UAAUUAUCAAACAAAACUACAGAGCUAUUACACAACAAAUUCUUGAACAAAUAAAAAAAAUGCAUUUUAACCAUAAUCACAAAAUAUUUGAGAGAACUUGAAUGGAAGCAUCGCUCAUAUACAAUUCAACCUAGAGGCCUUUGAACUCUUGCCUCGUACUUUCCUUUUGAGGUUUGGCACCUUCAUGCUUCGCAUUCACUGCAUCCAACUCUGGCCGAAGCUCCUCAAUUCACUUCUUCUGAUUCAUAAUUCUCCACUCUUCAAAAUUCACCAAAAAUGUGAAUACAUAUACAUUUUUGGGGCAAACUGUUUGAAAAAUGGAAUUCAAUUUUAGCUAGGAAGCCUAAUUUUUAUUUUUAAAAGAAAAAAGUGCCCAGAUCAACAAAAGGCUCAAACUUAAAUAAAUAAAUAGUAAAAAUUGGCUCAACAAUAUCAUCUUCGCCAUCAUCUCAGUACUUAGCUUCCCGGCAACUUAUGGAUCGAUGAUGCCCACUACAUCCAACCUAUAAAUUCUGGCGGAUCCAGCAUGAGCAAUCACACUAUCUAGA
rnacentral:lncRNA from 1 species